rnacentral:rRNA from 1 species
UACGGGGGGAGCAAGCGUUGUUCGGAUUUACUGGGCGUAAAGGGCGCGUAGGCGGUCAGCACAAGUCAGUUGUGAAAUCUCUGGGCUUAACCCGGAAAGGUCAACUGAUACUGUGCGACUAGAGUGCGGAAGGGGCAACUGGAAUUCUCGGUGUAGCGGUGAAAUGCGUAGAUAUCGAGAGGAACACCUGCGGCGAAGGCGGGUUGCUGGGCCGACACUGACGCUGAUGCGCGAAAGCCAGGGGAGCGAACGGG